rnacentral:ncRNA from 2 species
UAUAUUGAUGUUGUUCAAGGUGAUCUUGUUGGAUGCCAACAAGGUGAACAGGGAACUCCGGUGCGUCUUCUUCCCGAAGGCAAUUCCGGGACGGUCCGGCCGCUGUGUGCCACCCGUGAUCUUAACUGAUUGCAAUCGUUGCUCCUUUCUUUGGAAUGAGCCAUUGUCCGCCUGACUCAAAUCAGGGUUGAAACGGAUGAGAAGGCUGUGAGCGAACGAUACGGUGGUGAGUCAGAAGACCUACCUUGAGCUAGACGAUGUC